GUCAGGAUGGCCGAGCACUGUAAAGCGCCAGAUUCAAGUUCUGGUCCACUGAUGUGGGCGUGGCUUCGAAUCCCACUCCUGACA